AGAAACACAGUUUAUAUCCUUGAAUAGGUAGGAAAACAAUGAACACGAUAAGUAAAAGAAUCAUUGCAACCUUGUUGGGGAUAUUCAGAAACAGAAAAUAACACCUGCUUUCUCAUUUCCAGAGCUAUCAGCUUCCCAGUUUGCACAAUUCAUCAAGAAAUUAUGCGGGGUCACUGGCACAAAUGAUGAGGCAUCUCCUGGAAGCUUAACUUCUUAUCCAUCCCAUCUCUUGGACAGAUGAUGCCAGUUAAUUACUUUGAAUGCUCCUCCACCAAGCCAAGGCCAGACUCCUGCAAUCAUAGGAUGGCAACACCACCUCUAAAGCACAGAACUUCAGCCUUUGCUUCGGAAGUGGCACCAUGGUCUCUUCAUUUUCCCUUUCUUCAAGGCAAGUUUGAAAACCACUGCUUUAAAGAAAAUGGAUACUCCCCUUACCAAGCAGAAAGUAGGAUUUUGGAAACUGAUGCAAGGGAAGCAAAAAAGAUGCCUCAGGAGGCACGAUUACAACAGGAUUGAUGCAAACGGAAG
rnacentral:lncRNA from 1 species